rnacentral:rRNA from 1 species
GACGAACGCUGGCGGCGUGCUUAACACAUGCAAGUCGAGCGAUGAAGCUCCUUCGGGAGUGGAUUAGCGGCGGACGGGUGAGUAACACGUGGGUAACCUGCCUCAUAGAGGGGAAUAGCCUUCCGAAAGGAAGAUUAAUACCGCAUAAGAUUGUAGUACCGCAUGGUAUAGCAAUUAAAGGAGCAAUCCGCUAUGAGAUGGACCCGCGUCGCAUUAGCUAGUUACAGCGGUAACGGCUCACCAAGGCGACGAUGCGUAGCCGACCUGGGAGGGUGAUCAGUCACAUAGGGACUUGGAUGCUGCCCCGAGUUCUUUGGGAGGCAGUGUUGGGGAAUAUGUCAUAAUGGGGGUGAUCCUGAUGCAGCAACGCUGCGUGAGUUAUGAUAGUCUUCGGUUUGUAAAGCUCUGUCUUCAGGGACGAUAAUGACGGUACCUUAGGAGGAAGCCACGGCUAACUACGUGCCAGCCGCCGCGGUAAAAC